GACGAGCUCUCCAAACGUUAUCCGGAAUCACUGGGUUUAAAGGGUGCGUAGGCGGGUUAUUAAGUCAGUGGUGAAAUACUGUCGCUUAACGAUAGAACUGCCAUCGAUACUGAUAGUCUUGAAUUGGGUUGAGGUUAGCGGAAUGUGACAUGUAGCGGUGAAAUGCAUAGAUAUGUCAUGGAACACCAAUUGCGAAGGCAGCUAACUGGGCCUUGAUUGACGCUGAGGCACGAAAGCGUGGGUAGCGAACAGG
rnacentral:rRNA from 1 species